rnacentral:rRNA from 1 species
AAUAGAUACCCUGGUAGUCCACGCCGUAAACGAUGAGUGCUAAGUGUUAGGGGGUUUCCGCCCCGUUAGUGCUGCAGCUAACGCAUUAAGCACUCCGCCUGGGGAGUACGGUCGCAAGACUGAAACUCAAAGGAAUUGGACAGGGGCCCGCACAAGCGGUGGAGCAUGUGGUUUAAUUCGAAGCAACGCGAAGAACCUUACCAGGUCUUGACAUCCCGCUGACCGCUAUGGAGACAUAGCUUUCCCUUCGGGGACAGCGGUGACAGGUGGUGCAUGGUUGUCGUCAGCUCGUGUCGUGAGAUGUUGGGUUAAGUCCCGCAACGAGCGCAACCCUUGUCCUUAGUUGCCAUCAUUCAGUUGGGCACUCUAAGGAGACUGCCGGCUAAAAGUCGGAGGAAGGUGGGGAUGACGUCAAAUCAUCAUGCCCCUUAUGACCUGGGCUACACACGUGCUACAAUGGACGGUACAAACGGUUGCGAAGUCGCGAGAUGGAGCUAAUCCGAGAAAACCGUUCUCAGUUCGGAUUGCAGG